UACGGGGGGGGCAAGCGUUGUUCGGAAUUACUGGGCGUAAAGGGCUCGUAGGUGGCCAACUAAGUCAGACGUGAAAUCCCUCAGCUUAACUGGGGAACUGCGUCUGAUACUGGAUGGCUGGAGUUUGGGAGAGGGAUGCGGAAUUCCAGGUGUAGCGGUGAAAUGCGUAGAUAUCUGGAGGAACACCGGUGGCGAAGGCGGCAUCCUGGACCAAUACUGACGCUGAGGAGCGAAAGCCAGGGGAGCAAACGGG
rnacentral:rRNA from 1 species